rnacentral:rRNA from 1 species
UACGGAGGGUGCAAGCGUUAAUCGGAAUUACUGGGCGUAAAGCGUGCGCAGGCGGUUUGUUAAGUCCGUUGUGAAAGCCCCGAGCUCAACUUGGGAAUUGCAGUGGAUACUGGCAGGCUGGAGUACGGUAGAGGAAGGUGGAAUUCCCGGUGUAGCAGUGAAAUGCGUAGAUAUCGGGAGGAACACCAGUGGCGAAGGCGGCCUUCUGGACCAGUACUGACGCUCAUGCACGAAAGCUAGGGGAGCAAACAGG